AUCCCUGUGGCGCGAUGGAUGGCGCAUUGAACUUCUAAUCCAAAGGUGGUGGGUUCGAAUCCCACCUGGGAUG
rnacentral:tRNA from 1 species